rnacentral:rRNA from 1 species
CCUACGGGUGGCAGCAGUGAGGAAUAUUGGUCAAUGGGCGCGAGCCUGCACCAACCAAGUAGCGUGAAGGAUGACUGCCCUACGGGUUGUAAACUUCUUUUAUAAAGGAAUAAAGUGAGGCACGCGUGCCUUUUUGUAUGUACUUUAUGAAUAAGGAUCGGCUAACUCCGUGCCAGCAGCCGCGGUAAUACGGAGGAUCCGAGCGUUAUCCGGGUUUAUUGGGUUUAAAGGGAGCGUAGAUGGGUUGUUAAGUCAGUUGUGAAAGUUUGCGGCUCAACCGUAAGAUUGCAAUUGAUACUGGCAGCCUUGAGUACAGUGGAGGUAGGCGGAAUUCGUGGUGUAGCGGUGAAAUGCUUAGAUAUCACGAAGAACUCCGAUUGCGAAGGCAGCUUACUAAACUGCCACUGACAUUGAUGCUCGAAAGUGUGGGUAUCAAACAGGAUUAGAUACCCGGGUAGUC